AUUGAACGCUAGCGGCAGGCCUAACACAUGCAAGUCGAGCGAGCGGCGGACGGGUGAUUAAUGUAUGUGGCCUGCCCGAUAGAGGGGGAUAACUACUGGAACCUUUUGCUACCACCUCAUACUCUCGGAUAACCCAUAUGGGAUUAGCUCGUAGGGGGGGUAAAGGCUCACCUAGGCGACGAUCUCUAGCUGGUCUGAGAGGAGGCUCAGCCACACUGGGACUUAGACACGGACCAGACGCCUACGGAUGUAGCAUGGGGGAAUAGUGCACAAUGGGGGCAAGCCUGAUGCAGCCAUGCCGCUUGUAUGAAGAAGGCCUUAGGGUUGUAAAGUACUUUCAGCAGGGAGGCGUUACCCGCAGAAGAAGCACCGGCUAACUCCGUGCCAGCAGCCGCGGUAAUAC
rnacentral:rRNA from 1 species